UACGCAGUUUACUUGUUUAGUCACGACGGAUAGCUCUAAUGUCACUGCAAAUAGGUAUGUGUGUGGUUCAUAUUUGCUAAUAAAAUUUGCCACAAAUUUGACUCAGCAAGUUGUGGCUUCUAGUGGUCAUGCGAACUACAAUUAUGAAAAAUUGAUGGAUCAACAUAGUAGUUAGAUAAGAUUAAAAUGAUACUAAGCAGUGUUUUCAAAAGCGAAAAGCGCAAAAAGCUCUUAGGUCAGCUGGGGCUUUAAGCGCAAAGCGCAAAUAAAGCGUUGGCUUUAAUGAAAAAAGGCGCAAUGGUGCAAAAAUACAAAUAUAUAUAUAUAUAUAUAUGUGUGUUCCAAGACUAAUAAUAAUAAGCAUGAAUAACUAAUAUUUGGACAAAGAAAUUGUAAAACCAUUACAAGAAAGUGAAAUAUCAAUUAUCUAGUGUCACCUCUUCAAGAGAGGCUCAUUGGCAAGGAAAAGUAUGGCUUAGAGCCUUGAUGAUGACACUGAAGCCCACAUAAAGCGAGGUGAAGCGCUCAACAUGUUUUGAGUCUCGCUUCAGGGCUUAAGUGCGCCUUUGACAACACUGGUUUCCUAUACCAGUGAAUGUGGUUAAAAGGAUAGAUACUCUAAGGAGAAACUUUUUCUGGCAAGGCAAUGAAGACAAGAAGAAGUUCCAUCUAGUUAAGUGGGAGGAGUUGACAAUCAACAAGGAAGUAGGAUGGGUGGGAAUCAGAGACAUGAGUAGACAGAACAAGAGCCUGUUGAUGAAAUGGUUGUGGAAGUUUGCAACAACUGACAACUCACUUUGGAAGGAAGUGGUCACUGCAAAGUAUGGGAUGGAGGAUAAGUGGAUAGCUGAAGAGGUGACUACCCCUUAUGGUUGCAGUUUGUGGAGAUCUAUCAGGAAUCUAUGGCCUUUAGUUUUGGUUAGAGCAAGAUUUAAAGUGGGGAAUGGUUUGAAGGUGUCCUUUUGGGAUGACAGUUGGUGUGGCCAAGAACCUUUACAGCAAAUGUACCCAGAUCUUUACACCCUAUGCCAACUUCAACAAGCCACAAUUGCUGAAAUAUGGACAGGAUAAGGAUGGAAUCUACAGCUAAGAAGGAAUCUGAAUGAUUGGGAGAUGCCAAAGAUAGUAGCCUUUUAUAACACAGUGGCACAUUUCAACAAUUUAACAGGUGAGGGAUACUUUGGAAUGGAAAGCUGAUAGUAAAGAGAAUUUUACUGUUAAAUCUGCAUACAGAGACUUGAGUUCAACAACAAAUCAGGAGGCAGGAUGGCCCUGGAGGAUGAUAUGGAAAACCAAGAUACCAUACAAGGUAAACUGUUUUUCCUGGCUUUUGGCAAAAGGAGGAGUGCUGACUCAUGAGAACCUGAACAAAAGAGGUUUUCACCUAUGCUCUAGAUGUUACUUAUGUGGGGAACAAGCAGAGACAGUCAACCAUCGGUUUUUGCAUUGCAAAGUGACAGACCAGUUGUGGCAGUUUUUUCUCAAAAUGAAAAAAAUCAACUGGGUGAAAUCAGGAAGUAUAAAAUAAGUAAUGAAGUGUUGGAACAGAGAUGGUAAUGCAGCAAAGGAGGAGGAGAGAUGGAAGAUUGUCCCAGUAAGCAUAUGGAAGUUUGGAAGGAGAGAAGUCAGAGAUGUUUUGAAGAUAAGCAGAGCAGCAUGCAGAAAAUGAAGAUGAAUUGUUUAGCUAUUUACUAUUUUUAGCGUAAACAGGAAAUGUUAGUCAAACAGGAGAUAUUUUAACAGCUAUUGACUGGUUGUAAUUUAGCGGAAAUAGGAAGGCAAUGUAGCUGUAAUACUUUUGAAGGGGGACUACACAUUUGGAUGUAGUUAUACUUGUGGAUAUAUAGAUUAAUUGUUACCAUUAUCAAAAAAAAAAAAAAAAAACUAUAAA